UCCCUGGUGGCUCAGAGGUUAAAGCAUCUGCCUGCAAUGUGGGAGACCUGGGUUUGAUCCCCCGGUCAGGAAG
rnacentral:tRNA from 1 species